rnacentral:rRNA from 1 species
CAGUCGCCGCGGUAAUACAGAGGGUGCGAGCGUUAAUCGGAAUUACUGGGCGUAAAGCGUGCGCAGGCGGUUAUAUAAGACAGAUGUGAAAUCCCCGGGCUCAACCUGGGAACUGCAUUUGUGACUGUAUAGCUAGAGUACGGCAGAGGGGGAUGGAAUUCCGCGUGUAGCAGUGAAAUGCGUAGAUAUGCGGAGGAACACCGAUGGCGAAGGCAAUCCCCUGGGCCUGUACUGACGCUCAUGCACGAAAGCGUGGGGAGCAAACAGGAUUAGAUACCCCCGUAGUCCCUGUCUCUUAUAC